rnacentral:rRNA from 1 species
GUAGGGAAUAUUGGGCAAUGGAGGCAACUCUGACCCAGCCAUGCCGCGUGCAGGAUGACGGCCCUCUGGGUUGUAAACUGCUUUUAUACGGGAAGAAAAAAUACUACGUGUAGUAUACUGACGGUACCGUAAGAAUAAGGAUCGGCUAACUCCGUGCCAGCAGCAGCGGUAAUACGGAGGAUCCAAGCGUUGUCCGGAUUUAUUGGGUUUAAAGGGUGCGUAGGCGGAUCUUUAAGUCAGUGGUGAAAGCCUGCAGCUUAACUGUAGAAUUGCCAUUGAAACUGAAGAUCUUGAAUGUGGUUAAAGUAGGCGGAAUGUAUCAUGUAGCGGUGAAAUGCUUAGAUAUGAUACAGAACACCGAUAGCGAAGGCAGCUUGCUGAACCAUUAUUGACGCUGAGGCACGAAAGCGUGGGGAGCGAACAGGAUUAGAUACCCCAGUAGUCC